AUAAUGGUAUGAAAUCUAACCGGA
rnacentral:siRNA from 1 species